GCUCACCUGGUGAAAUUCAGGUAGACACGCCGGGUCGAGAGCUCGGUGCUCAGUGAUGGGCGUGCGGGUUCGAUCCCCGCGGUGAGCA
rnacentral:tRNA from 1 species